rnacentral:rRNA from 1 species
UCCUACGGGAGGCAGCAGUAGGGAAUUUUCCACAAUGGGCGCAAGCCUGAUGGAGCAACGCCGCGUGCAGGAUGAAGGCUUUAGGGUCGUAAACUGCUUUUAUGUGCGAUGAAUUUGACAGUAACACAUGAAUAAGGAUCGGCUAACUACGUGCCAGCAGCCGCGGUAAUA